rnacentral:rRNA from 1 species
GUUCCCUCCGAGACGGAUCCCGAGUAGUGCGGGGCACGUGAAACCCCGUAUGAAUCCGGCAGGACCAUCUGCCAAGGCUAAAUACUUCCUAGCGACCGAUAGUGAAGCAGUACCGUGAGGGAAAGGUGAAAAGCACCCCGGAAGGGGAGUGAAAUAGAACCUGAAACCGUGUGCUUACAAGAAGUCAGAGCCCAUUUUAGGGGUGAUGGCGUGCCUUUUGUAGAAUGAACCGGCGAGUUACGUUCCCGUGCAAGGUUAAGGUGAAGAGCCGGAGCCGCAGCGAAAGCGAGUCUGAAUAGGGCGAUGUAGUACGUGGACGUAGACCCGAAACCGGGUGAUCUACCCCUGUCCAGGGUGAAGGUGCGGUAACACGCACUGGAGGCCCGAACCCACGCACGUUGAAAAGUGCGGGGAUGAGGUGGGGGUAGCGGAGAAAUUCCAAUCGAACUCGGAGAUAGCUGGUUCUCCCCGAAAUAGCUUUAGGGCUAGCCUCGGAAAACAGAGUCGUGGAGGUAGAGCACUGAUUGGGUGCGGGGCCCGCAAGGGUUACCAAGCUCAGUCAAACUCCGAAUGCCAUAGACUUACUUCCGGGAGUCAGACAGUGAGUGCUAAGAUCCAUUGUCAAAAGGGAAACAGCCCAGACCAUCAGCUAAGGUCCCCAAGUGUGUGUUAAGUGGGAAAGGAUGUGGAGUUGCACAGACAACCAGGAUGUUGGCUUAGAAGCAGCCACCAUUGAAAGAGUGCGUAAUAGCUCACUGGUCGAGUGACUCUGCGCCGAAAAUGUAACGGGGCUAAACACACCACCGAAGCUAUGGCUUG